UGCAACUCGCCUACAUGAAGUCGGAAUUGCUAGUAAUCGCGGAUCAGCAUGCCGCGGUGAAUACGUUCCCGGGCCUUGUACACACCGCCCGUCACACCAUGGGAGUCGGUAACACCCGAAGCCUGUAGUCUAACCGCAAGGGGGACGCAGUCGAAGGUGGGAUUGAUGACUGGGGUGAAGUCGUAACAAGGUAAC
rnacentral:rRNA from 1 species